GUUAACCUUUCAGUUUCGAGGAGGGAGAGUUGAAGACACCGUCGUCUUCGAGAAGUUUCCAAUCGCCUCAGGCAAAUGGAGGAUUUUAGUGUGGAUGAUCCCUCAAAUCCCUUCGCCCGCUUCGCAUUCACAGGCAAAGUUGAUCCAUGGAAGCCGGGAUUUGCUACCCGUACUGCACCAUCCAGGCUAAUACCUGUUAA